GCCCCCGUAGCCCAACUGGAAGAGGCCGGCGACUUAAACUCGCCAACGGUGCGGGUUCGACUCCCGUCGGGGGCA
rnacentral:tRNA from 1 species